rnacentral:rRNA from 1 species
UACGUAGGGUGCAGGCGCUAAUCGGAAUUACUGGGCGUAAAGCGUGCGCAGGCGGUCUCUUAAGACAGGUGUGAAUCCCGGCUUAACCUGGAACUGCGCUUGUAACUGAGAGGCUUGAGUGUGCCAGAGGGGGUGGAAUUCCACGUGUAGCAGUGAAUGACGUAGAGAUGUGGAGAACACCGAUGGCGAAGCAGCCCCUGGGUAACACUGACGCUCAUGCACGAAGCGUGGGAGCAAACAGG